rnacentral:tRNA from 1 species
GCGUCGGUGGUUCAGUGGUAGAAUGCUCGCCUGCCACGCGCGCGGACCGGGUCCGAUUCCCGGCCGACGCA